AUUCGUUGGAUGAAUGUGAGGCAUUGGAUUGAUUUCGUUCAAUCCGAGCCCCACAGUCAUCCGGGGGUUCGU
rnacentral:pre_miRNA from 1 species